rnacentral:tRNA from 1 species
GGCAGUGUUGCUUAAUGGGAAGAGUAUAGAUUGGGAAUCAGAAAACCUGGGUUCUAGUCCCACCUCUGCCC